ACUGGGGGGACUCCUGGAACCAUAACCACUGGAGUGUUUUGUAGUGGUUAUGGUACUUGGAGUCUUCCCUUA